ensembl:lncRNA
AUUUUCCUCCAGAACUCUGCCCCUUCUCUCUGUUUCUGCCUCCUAGCAUUUUUCCUUGGAGGUUGGGGAGAAAUUUGUUUUCCUAAAUGUUGGAGCAGGUGGUGUUACUUAAGACACAACCUAAAAUUUUUCCUACAUAGUCUUUAUUAUGGCUUGAAUUGUGCCCCGCAAAUAGAUGUGUUAAAAUCCUGAUCUCCUGGACCUCAGAACGUGGCCUCAUUUGUAAAUGGGCCACUGCAGAUGAAAUCAAGUUUCAUGGAAUGUCACACUCUGGAUACCUCGGAUGUAAUGAAUCGCCUAUGGAGAACACUCAAGUCGUUUCCAGUUUCUAACUAGAGGAAACACUGUAGCAGGACGCCUCCCCUUCAGUCAUCUUUGAGCUCCUAGGUAGUGUAGCAUAGUCACAGCAUCAUGAAGACAAAGACCUGGACAUCUUUGGGAGCCAUUAUUCUGCCAACCAUGGACUCUGAGCUCUGAAGGCAGAAAGAACAUCUUAUUCCUGCUGGAUUUCAGUCUCCAGGACAUGGUGAGCACUCAGUAACUGGUUACCAGCGGAAACCUUGCUUUUGGUCUGUGUUGGUCUUGCAAGUUGGAUAGAGAGGACCCUUGAGUGCCACCAGAAGGUACAUUGUUAUUUCCCUACCUGUCCUCUCCCCACUGUAAGCUUCUUUCCCGAAGCACCAUUUUUAUUCUGAGGACGUUGAAUAACAGGUGUUUGGGGCAGAGAGCAUGCCAUCAUCCAUCUAUCCCUGACCCAGGGCCAGGCACACUUUUGCAACUCUGCAUGUGUGUUGAGUGGAUCAGAACCCCCACUGGGGCAGAAAUGCUGAAAGCAAGGUGUCCUGCAGGCCCGGAGUGGGACGGGAGCACUAGAGGCCAGCUGGGAUGGCUGCUGAGGCAGACAGUACAGCCCCGCCAGGCCAGCAGAGAGAAGGUGACCUUAGGUUUGGGGAGUCAGGUCCAGCAGGAAGUCAGCCAUGUGCAACAGGGCAGCCCUGACAAGGACAGCAAGAGAGGCAGGGGGACCAGGUGAGCUCAAGAUCCUGGGUGCAGGGGGAGUUGAAACUGAAGCACACACCAGGAACCUGCAGGAAACAGCACCAGGCUCAACCUGGGCAGGACCCAUGCCAGCCCCCCAAGUUUACCUUCUAUGGGGAGGAUGGGCUCAGCCUCACUACGAGCUCCUGGACAAGGG